AAAAAGGUAAGCUAAAUUAAGCUAAAGGGUUCAUACCCCUUACAUGGAGGUAAACCCUCCCCAUUUUA
rnacentral:tRNA from 1 species